UACGUAGGGGGCGAGCGUUGUCCGGAAUCAUUGGGCGUAAAGCGCGUGUAGGCGGCUCGUUAAGUCCGGUGUGAAACCUUGGGGCUCAACCCCAAGCCUGCACUGGAUACUGACGAGCUCGAGUCCGGGAGGGGAGAGCGGAAUUCCUAGUGUAGCGGUGAAAUGCGCAGAUAUUAGGAAGAACACCGGUGGCGGAGGCGGCUCUCUGGAACGGUACUGACGCUGAGACGCGAAAGCGUGGGGAGCGAACAGG
rnacentral:rRNA from 1 species